rnacentral:misc_RNA from 1 species
UACGUAGGGUCCAAGCGUUGUCCGGAUUUACUGGGCGUAAAGAGCUCGUAGGCGGCCCGUCGCGUCGGUCGUGAAAACCCUGAGCUCAACUCAGGGAUUGCGAUCGAUACGGGCGGGCUAGAGGGCGGAAGGGGCGAGCGGAAUUCCCGGUGUAGCGGUGAAAUGCGCAGAUAUCGGGAGGAACACCGGUGGCGAAGGCGGCUCGCUGGGCCGUUCCUGACGCUGAGGAGCGAAAGCGUGGGGAGCGAACAGG